rnacentral:misc_RNA from 1 species
GUAUUUAUUUUUGGUUAUUUCGCAAGAGAUAACCAAGAGAUUUGAGGUGUCUCUUUCUGAGAAAGAGUACCUUUAAUGUUAUAGCCUCUUUUGUGGUAAAACAACUCUGCAGAACAGUAUUUGAAUGGAACUUUGGUUUCUUUAAUGCCUAAUACGCAGACUUACCUAUUGAAAAGGGGGUCCAUAAACUAUAAGUAGUACCUCGGUGCUGCUUGAA